UACGUAGGGGGCUAGCGUUGUCCGGAAUCAUUGGGCGUAAAGCGCGUGUAGGCGGCCCGGUAAGUCCGCUGUGAAAGUCGGGGGCUCAACCCUCGGAUGCCGGUGGAUACUGUCGGGCUUGAGUACGGAAGAGGCGAGUGGAAUUCCUGGUGUAGCGGUGAAAUGCGCAGAUAUCAGGAGGAACACCAAUUGCGAAGGCAGCUCGCUGGGACGGUACUGACGCUGAGACGCGAAAGCGUGGGGAGCAAACAGG
rnacentral:rRNA from 1 species